GCCAUCUCUUUUGAAACAAAAAUGAAACAGACGUGGCCGGGGAAAGCUAAAUAUUUGCAAGCCGAUGUGAACAAAGGGGAAAACUCCAGCCAGGGAACUUUGAGUUUCUGCGCGAGCCCCCAGCGGCCCCGCUCGCUGGAUACUUUAUGAGAACGUCCUUUGCCCCUGCUUUCCCUCAGUCCCCGAAGGAAAAUAAAUCCUCGGCCAAAUGAGACUUGACGGCGUGAACAGAAGACCGUCUCCAGACAGUCCCAGCUGGCGCAGGCGGAGCCGGGCCAGAGCCUGCCGUCCUGGUGAACACAAUCGAGCAAGGCAGUGAAGCAAAAAUCAUUAGAUGAGGUAACUGAGGCACAGAGAGUUCAAGCAACUUGUCCACAGUCAUCUUCCAAUAAGUGCUGGAGCCAGGAUUUGAAUGCAGGCAGUCCACCUCUUGUAUCCAAGCUGUCAUCCACUAAGCCAUG